GGAUUAUGUAACAAUACUGAUGUCUAAUUAUAAGCUAUGGCCAACUGUUCAACUGUUUACAUUUUAUGUAAUUCCCUUUCAAUUCAGAGUUAUUUUUGUGAAUGUUGUUGCUAUCUUUUGGAAUUCAUACUUAUCUUGGAAAUCAAAUAGAAAGAAUUUACAUGGAGAAAUUAAAGAAAUAUCACAAUAACAUGAAAUAUUUGAAAAUGUUUCUACAUAAAAACCAAAGAAAUGAUUUUGUUAAAAUAUUCAGGUUUGCAUAAUGAUAAU